UUCCUACGGGAGGCAGCAGUGAGGAAUAUUGGUCAAUGGGCGGAAGCCUGAACCAGCCAAGUCGCGUGAGGGAAUAAGGCCCUACGGGUCGUAAACCUCUUUUGCCGGGGAGCAAGGGCGGGGACGUGUCCCGGCCCGGAGAGUACCCGGAGAAAAAGCAUCGGCUAACUCCGUGCCAGCAGCCGCGGUAAUACGGAGGAUGCGAGCGUUAUCCGGAUUUAUUGGGUUUAAAGGGUGCGUAGGCGGCGAGUUAAGUCAGCGGUAAAAUUUCGGGGCUCAACCCCGACGAGCCGUUGAAACUGGCU
rnacentral:rRNA from 1 species